rfam:Myotis davidii contig319972, whole genome shotgun sequence.
UGGGGCUCAUUAGGCAGAGCAGGGUGCAGAGGUGCCCGCCGCCAGCCCCGGAGGCCACCUUUGAGCCGUGGGGGCGGCUUCAUUAAGCGGCGCUAACAAGGCUUUCAAAUGCCGGGCCCAGCAGCUUUCUUGCAGUGGCGGGGCCUUAGCAGGGCGCCAGGCUAAUGAGGGUCACUCAAAGGGGCUGAUCAAAUAUUCAAAUUUCACCGCGCGCCGGGAACUUUUAUGUGCGGAGAAAGUUGAGGCAACUGAGCUGUGUUUACUGUCCCC